UCUUGAAAGGGAGAGAUCAGUUGUUUUCCCCCAUUUCCCCACAUCUCCAUCCGCCUCACUCAUCUCUCGAACCACCAAUAGCUUUCGGAAACAAGCAGUAGUGGCACGCCAUCAGGAGCGGCCACCUUCAACAAAAACACCAGCAACUCUCUCAUCUCCUCUAACCUACAGCUGCCGGACCCCCUUCUCCAUGUUAUCACCACCAGAUUCUAGCCUUCUUCUGCCUAGAACACCUAGCUCCUCCACUUCCAAGCCAAAACAGACCAGCCACAACCCCUCAAUUUUUAAAAACUAACAACGCCUCUUAGAAAAAAAGGGAAUGGAAACACACACACACACUAAAAAGAAGAAUGAAAGAGACCUGAAAUUGGUACCUAAAACAGUCCCUAUAACCUACAUAAAACCAGCUCUAUUUUAUCUCAAAACAACCCCCGUAAUUUCUGAAAAUCAGCCAAAAACACAGCUUAAGCUUUUCCAAAAUGUAGCAGAAAAACAACCACAAAAUCCAUAGUGUGAACUCCAUUUUCCUUCGAGUUUUAGUUGCAUUCGAAUAACAACGUUCAAUGCGUCGAGGUCACUGUUGCAAAGUUCAAUUAAUAUCACGUUGUAGUCAAUUUGAUUUGAAUUUUUACGUUUGGAGCAUAUUCAGCAAAAGGUCCAUUUCUUUCCUCAUUUCAAUCAUUAUUUUAGCAAUUUUAGUUUUACUUCUGCUAUUUUUGUUUGUGAAAAAAUGUAUGUUAAGCUCUUUGCUGGGUAAUUUUAUAUGACUCUUUUGAAAUAUUAGAGUGUCGACUUGAUAAGUUUGCUCACCUUGUUGGAAGUUUGCUGGACAAGUUUUGGGUUAAAGACACCAUAUCUUGCUUGGGUAUUUUUUUUAGAUCGUAAAUUUGCUUCAAAUUAUGUGGGAGUUGGUAAUAUCAUUUACUAGAAGUUGUUUCAUAGACUUGAAAUCGUCUUAUUCCUACUUCUCAUAUUCACUUGGACUGUUUAACAAAUUGGACCUGGACAAAGUUGGGCCGUAUAAUAACUCACAUGAAACAUACAAUUAUUACAACCUUCCAUUCUGUCAUGCUUCUGAUUCUCACAAAUGGGGUGUCCUUGGUGAAGUUUUGGGUAGAAAUGAGCUUAUUUAUAGUCAAAUUGACAUAAGGUUUCAAAAUAUGGGAGAGAGAACGUUGCAAUUUGUGAUUCUAUUUUGUUCAAAAUUUGAAUAAGUUAAAUAACUCGUGAACACUGCUAAUAUACUUUUAGGCACACAUUUAAUCUAUUAUCAUGAUUGUGUACACGUUCACGUGACAUAAUUAUGAUUUCCAAAUUAAAUCCAGGUAUGCGUUCGUGCAACUUCGGCCAAAUAAUCUUAUAUUAACAAAGCUUUAUUAAUUGUGUACACGUACGCAUGACAUGAUUCAUGAAGCGUCGAACGAAAUGAGUACACGUACGCGUGACUCGUUUCAGGAUAAUUUCUUAAUUACGAGCGGUAAAGUUAAAAUGUACACAGGUUCUAAAAUGAGUAAUUAAACAAUUUAAUUAAGCCAGGUAUGUUUAAAGUGACCGUGCUAAAAUCGCAGAAUUCGGGAAUGCCUAACACCUUAUCCCGGGUUAACAGAAUUCCUUACCUGGUCUUCUAGUUUUGCGGACUUUAAAACAGAGUCAAAUUUUCUCGAUUUGGGAUUUAAAAUAAACUGGUGACUUGGGACACCAUAAAUUAUCCCAAGUGGCAACUCUGAAUCUAGUAAAUAAUCUCAUUUCGAUUAUUGUCAUUUUAAUUGGAAAAACUCCCAUAUCCCCUCAGGAAAAAGGAGGUGUGACAUCAACCAUCUAUUGUUGAUUUACCUUAAUUUUGGUCUAUAAUCUGCUACUUAUCACUUGAAACCUCUUAUGUAAUAUAUUGUCACUAGGGCUCAUGUCUCGUUAGGGAACAUCUAAAGUUAUUUGCCUGAUCCACCUAGGGGAGAUACUAUACUUCAAUAACUGUAUUUCUUGGUAUCCCAAUGUGAUUCACCUCAUGGGGGUAUUCUAAUCCUGUGCAAUUCAUGAAAUCCCUUUUCUUUGAAUCAUUAACCAAUCAAAGGCCUUAACGUUAUCCUCUUAUCUAUCACAAUUACACCAUUAUUCUACUAGCAGGGCAAUAUUUCAUCUCUUUAAAUUGCUCAUAGUCUCAGACUCCUCUGAGUUCAUUCAGGCUAUACUGCGCUUUCUAUAACUUACGGAAUUCAUCAACCCUCUUGUUUUGAUGGACUUAAUCCCGAGGUCUUGCCUAUUCUCAUCACCUUCUCGCCCAGAUUUUUCUUAUUCUUACUCUUGUCUACCUAAACAUUAUCACUCUAUCAUACUUUAGUUUGCGACCUACCCAUAUCUAUUUAUACUACUCACAACCAUCCUUUACCUUGCUAGCACCAUAGAUUUCCUUAUAUCACUUUGGAACCUCAAGCAAGACAUCACACUGUCUCUAUCUCUUCUUUACUCUCUUAACUAGACAUCUCGAUACCUGGAAACUAUAGGGUUGAAGAUAUGCUACUGACGACACUAGCAUCAUUUUUGGAUACUGAAUCACAGCUCUUCUAGUCCUCUACCUAAAAUAUGGACUAUUCACAACCUUUUGCACUUGAGUAUCUCGUACCUUAUUCACCUUUACCUUUCUUAUCUUUAAAUAACGCAUUGUAUCUUCUAUCACCUUCAUAACCUCCCUUCCACAUAGGUGGAAUUCACAUCCACACCUUAAAGACUUACUAUAAUUCUUGCACCUCUGAUGCACACAUAAUCUGGCAGGAGCUUCACACUAACUUCUUAUGAGGCUGGUACUCUUCUAACUAGCUUUAUCGUAGAGCUGUUAUAGAAUAUGACUACCUUACUAUCUCUCUUGUACCUCUGAUAUGAAGAGUAAUUUUACAAUGUUCUGAAUUAUGAUUUUUAUACUCAUCGGGGUCUGAUAACCAGACCCCUAAUUCACUUAGCUGAUGUAGCUCUUUGUUUCUUCUUCUAUCUCAGCCUUUAAGUAGGCUUACGCUAUCUUCUGAUCUGCGGCUCAGGGUAUUAGUUAUUACUUUAUCCCCCCGUGGAUGCUAUGGAACAUCCAGGAUAUAACCUUCUAGCAAUUCAAGCUUUUGUAUGUCACGUAGACUCAAUUCUUUCUUUCAACUUAUACUGAAGUCUCCUAUAGCUGUAUCAUUAUUAACAUAUAUGCCGCAUAUAUAACACUAUGAAAUCUUAAGUGUGUUCAUAACGUAACUAACUCUGGGUCAUAGAUCGAAUAAUUCCUUUCGUGCCUUCUUGAGGUUAAGUGACGGUGAUGGGUUUGAUUAUGGUCAGCUAUUAUGAUAAGAGAGGUUGUUAUGGGCAUAUAUGUGAUGUGUCAUGUCGUGUGGUUGUAUCCUGUGUGGGUAGGCAUAAGUUUUCGCAAUUGGUUGAGGCUAAUACUGUGUGUUGAUGUAGGAAUCAGACAUUUUGGAAAUGAUCGAGAGGUGAGAAAUUUGGUUCUAAGAUUAUCAGCAUGGGUGGAAGGAAUAAUUUUCAGUUAGGAUAGUGUCGUCGGGCCUAUGUGGAUUGUGGGUGACGUGGGAUCACAUGUGGGUGUAUGUAUGAUAGCUUACUCAGUGAUUUGAUGACUUCAGAAUGGUUCUUGGCACGUUCAAGGAUGAACGUUAGUUUACAAGGGGGAGGAUGUAACGACCCGGCCGAUUGUUUUAAGAAUUGGCGUCCUGUUCGGUGACUUAAGGUCUGGAGCAACUUCGUAUUAUAUGUUAUGACUUGUGUGUGUGGCUGAGUUCAGUUUUCGGAUGAUUCAAGGUCAAUUUGGAAGAAUGAUUCUUGUUUUAGAAGCUUAAGCAGUAAGAGUUGACCGGAAUUUGACUUUUGUGCAGACGACUUCGAAAUGGAGUUUUGAUGAUUCCAAUAGCUUCGUAUGGUGAUUUGGACUUAGGCGUGCAUCCGAAUUUGGAGGUCCGUAGGAUAAUUUGAAUCAUUUCGGCGAAAAUUGGAAAGUUGAAGUUUUAGAAGUUAAGAGGUUUGAUGAGACUUGACUUUGGUGAUAUCAGGGUCGGUAUGCAAUUUCGAGAGUUGGAUUAGCUUUGUUAUGUCAUUUGGAACUUGCAUGAAAAAUUUGACAUCAUUUCGGGUUUAUGUGACAUGUUUCGGCAUGAGUUUUUAAAGUUGGAAGAUUUAAAAGUUCAUAAGUUCGAUACGAGGUGCGAUUCAUAGUUUCUACGUUACUUGAUGUGAUUUAAGGCCUCGAGUAGGUUCGCGAUGUGUCACGACCCUAAAACGAACCCGAUCGUGAUGGCGCCUAUCGUGAAACUAGGCCAGCCGACACAAACCCCAAAACCAACCAAACAUUUAUAAUAAGUCAUUUAAAACCAUUAAUUAGCUAAAAUCCCAUAGAAUAAGGUAGAAUAAACAGUGCGGAAACAAAACACAGCCCAACAUCCGGGUGUCACCAGUCAUGAGCAACUACAACUCAUCUAGGAAUAAGAAAAGACAACAUAGUCUGAAAACAAAUACUAAAACAAAGCUAAAUAGGAUGGGAAGGAGAAGCGCUGGGCUGUGAACGCUAAGCAGCUACCUAGUCGACUCAGGAGACCUGCUGGAAAGCUGAUCAACACUCGCUANNNNNNNNNNNNNNNNNNNNNNNNNACAGCAUAACGCUACAACAAACAGUAUAAGUCCAAAACAAUGCGGUAAACCAAUAAAUUCGUAAAAACAUCUCAGCUCAGUAAAACCUUUUUAAAAAAUCUUUCAAUAGUUUCAAACUAGUGAUGAAAACAGUGAGAAAAGAAUAGAAACGUAAACAGCUCUCGGGCAAAAUAUCAAUAGAACCAGCCCCUCCGGCUAUCUCACAAUCACUCGUAAUUAGCCCAUCGGGCAAUAACAUGAAACAACGACAGCCCCUCGGGCAAUAUCACAUCUCACACUGGGUACCCGCGCUCACUGGGGGUGUUCAGACUACGGAGGGGCUCCUACAGCCCAAGCGCUAAAACAAACCAUCUCGUGGCAUAAUCAAACUGGCCCUCGGCCUCAUAACAAGUUACCCUUGGCAUAACAAAUCAGGCCCUCGGCAUCAAAAUCAUGAAUCAGUACAACUUGCUUCGGCACAUAGCCCGAUCCUAUAAUAUCCUCACACCACAUGCCCUCGGCCUCACUCAGUCAGCAAUCUCUCAAGCCACUCGAGAAACAGUAAAACAUGAUGUUUAACCCAAAAUAUCAUUUAAACAUCAAAACGGAGUAAAUAUGCCUGAGUUAUGAAAACAGUAGAAUGCAGAAUGACUGAAUACAAAGAUGAAGUCAAAACAGUGAGGAAUAGUAGUAAAAAUCCCAUAAGGGUCCAAAACAAUUGGCACGAGGCCCAAAUAUGGCAUUCGGCCCAAAAUAUGGUAAUACUUUUCAAAACACAAUGAUAUCAAACAGUUUUCAAUCAAAUACGCGACUUAAUAGUCAUACGAGACCGACUAGGUCACAAUCCCAAUGGUGCACGACCCCACGCCGGUCAUCUAGCACGUGUGUCACCUCAAAAUAGCANNNNNNNNNNNNNNNNNNNNNNNNNNNNNNNNNNNNNNNNNNNNNNNNNNNNNNNNNNNNNNNNNNNNNNNNNNNNNNNNNNNNNNNNNNNNNNNNNNNNNNNNNNNNNNNNNNNNNNNNNNNNNNNNNNNNNNNNNNNNNNNNNNNNNNNNAUUACUUACCUCAAUCCGGUCCAAACUCUAGCCCGCGAUUCCUUUGCCUCUCGACUCGGCCUCUGGAUGCUCCAAAUCUAGCCAUAAAUAGAUUCAUACCAUCAAAAUAUGCUAAGGGAACAAAACCCACUCGAAAAUAACCAAUUUACAUCAAAAAUGCCGAAAUUGGUCAAACCAGAACCCCAGUCCCACGUCUCGGAUUCUGAUAAACUAGAAUCCUUACACUCUCACGAGUUCAUACAUACCAAAUACAUCAAAAUGAGACCACAAACGACCCCUAAAAUCCCUAGAUCAAGGUCUCUAAUUCCAAGCCCUAUCUCUCUAAUGUUAAUCCUUAAUUUCCAUAAAUUUCAAGCCUAAUCAGUGAAAUAACACCAUAAAAACGAGUUUUAGUUCCAAGAAUCUUACCUCCAUGAAUUUCCCUUGAAUUCCCUCUUCAAAAUCUCCCAAAAAGCUCCAAUCCCGGAUAAAAAUGGUGGAAACAACUCAAAUUUCGUGAAGGCCAUUAUUUAUAUGCUCUGCCCCAGUAAUACCGCAUCUGCGGUCAAAACUCUCGCACCUGCGGAAAUCACUUAUCCACCCCAAGUCUCCACAUUUGCGGCUCCAGUCCUUUUCCACUUUGGCUGCAUUUGCGACGCCUUUUCCGCUUUUGCGAGCCCUCACCUACGGUUCCAUAUCCGCAGGUGCGGUUAUGACAGGAACUUUAGCAGCUGAAACAUGUUCAAACUCAACUCCAAUAUUUCCGACAACCUCUAGAAAUCAUCCCGAGGCCCCCGGGACCUCAAUCAAAAGUACAAACAAGUCACAUACAACUAUUCAAACUUGUAACAACCUUCGGAACACUCAAAACAACGUCGGAACACCAAAUCAUCAUCGGAUUCAAGCCUAAGAAGUUCCAAAACUUCCAAAUUUCGGCUUUCGAUCAAAAAGUCUAUCCAACCUCAUUCGAAUGACCUGAAAUUUUGCACACACGCCCCAAAUGACACAACGGUCCUACUCCAACUUCCGAAAUCCUAUUCCGACCCCUAUAUCAAAAUCUCCGCUGCCAAUCGGAAAACGCCAAAAUUCCAAUUUCAGCAAUUCAAGCCUAAAUAUCUAUUCUAGACCUCCAAAACAUAUUCCGAUCAUGCUCCCAAGUCCCAAAUCACCUCACAAGCUAUCCGAAUCAUAAAAACUAAAUUCCUAGAUCAUUUACUCACAAGUCAACUUUCGAUUAACUUUUCCAACUAAAAGGCCAACUUAAGAGACUAAAUGUCCCAGUUCUUUACAAAACCACUCCGAACACAAACUAACCAAUGCGAUGCAAUGAAAUACAGCUGAACAACAUAUAAAGAAGCAGAAAUGGGAGAAACGAAGCGGUAACUCAUGAAACGACUGGCUGGGUCAUUACACGAUGUGUUAUGGAACUUAUUGUUAUAUUUGAAUGGUGUCCCGACUGGCUCGAAUGAGUUUGGAUGUGUUUUGGAUCGUUUUGGAAAUUUUGUUAAGGCUGGUUUUGGCAGUCACUGAUGCCAUCGCACAUGUGAUGUAUUUGGUCGUAGGUGUGCAACCGCAUAGGCGAAGUAGUGGUUGCAGAAGCGAAUUGGCAGGAUCAGGGCAGUGGUCGCAGGUGCGAAGUAUUUCCCUCACCUCCGUGAUCACAGAUGCGUACUAUGGAUCACAAAAGUGAGGUGUCUUGCAGAAGCGGAUUUUUGGCCUCCGACCUGCGACGUCGCAGAAGCGAACUUUUUUGCAGGUGCGAGGGUCAGUUGGACAGUGUACUCCACAAAUGCAGGAGUUUUCUCACAAAAGCAAGCUCGCAGGCGCGGAUAAUGUUUCACAUGUGCAAAUCCGGGUAGAAUGUUAAGGAUCAAAAUUGGUCAUUUUCUUCAUUUUGUUUUGAGUUGUGAACCUCGGUUUUGGGAGAUUCUUCGUGGGCUUUCAAGAAAUUCAUUGGGGGAAGCGUUUUCUACCCGAAUCUUAUUAUAUUUCAUGAAUCCAUUUCUAUUUUCAUCAUUUAAUUAGUGAAUCUAAUUGAAAUUCUGGGAAAAUUUUCAAAAUGUAAAAUGAGGAUUUGAAGGACGAAAUGAUGUCAGAAAUUGAUAAUUUUGGUAUGGUUGAACUCGUAUCAGAAUGGGUGUUUGGGUUUUGUAAAUUUUAUCAGGUUCUGAGGUGCGGGCCUGGGGUUUGACUUUUGGGUACACUUUUUAGUUUUAAUUAAAAAUCAAAGCUUUAUUAUCUAAAAUUAUAUCCUAUGAGUUUAACUUAUGAUUUGAAGUUAUUUUGGCUAUGUUAUGACUCGGCCGGUUGUUUUGAGAGUUGUAGCCUCGUUUCCCCAUUUACUGUUCAUUGUCUGCUUAAUUGUUGUUACAUUAAUUGCUGGGGUAGUUUAUUCGAUUCUGAGGAUGUUUCAGAAUGAGAUGAGAAAUUGAGUCUCAAGGUUGGAAGCUUAAGUUGAAAAGGUUGACCAGAUAUUGACUUAUAUGUAAAUGACUUUGGAAUGGAGUUUUGAGGGUUCCGAUAGCUCCGUUAGGUGAUUUUGAACUUAGAAGUGUGUCUGAAUAGUGAUUUGAAGGUUUGUAGUUGAAUUAGGCUUGAAAUGACAAAAGUUUAAAAUUUAGAAGUUUGUCCGAGAGUUGACUUUUUGGUUACCGGGCUUGGAUUGUGGUUCUGGGAGUUGGAGUAGAUUUGUUUUAUCAUUUUUGACUUGUGUGCAAAAUAUGAGGUCAAUCGGACGUGAUUUGUUAGGUUUCGGCAUCGAAUGUAGAAGUUAGAAGUUCAAAGUUCAUUAGGCUUGAAUUGAGGUGCAAUUUGUGGUUUGAUGUUGUUUGAUGUGAUUUGAGGGCUAGAAUAAGUUCGUAUCGUGUUAUAGGACUUGUUGGUAUGUUUUGUUGUGGUCCUGGGGGCCUCGGGUAGAGUUUGGAUGGUUAAUGGAUCGAGUUUGGAACUAGAAAGACUGUUGAAUCUCACCAGGUCUGGUGCAAUCGCACCUGCGGAGUUUUCAUUGCAAGUGCAAGCAAGGGAGCGCAUAUGCGACCUGGAAAGUAGUGUGAAGUGGUCGCAGGUGCGAGGGUAUUUUCGCACUUGCGUGGUCGCAGAUGCGGAGUGCAUGUGGCAGCUAUUUCCGCAGAAGCGGACGAGGCCUCGCAGAAGCGCAACCGCAGCUUGGGGGGAAGUUGGCCGCAUGUGCGCAUGGUCGGAGGUCGAGUGGGCAUUGCAGAAGCAAAAUGUAGUCGCACCUGCAGGACCGCAGAUGCGGGUAAGUUGUUCGCAGAAGCGAAAACCCCUGCACAGAACAUUAAAUUCGAAGGGUUCGUGAUUUUGCUCAUUUUAGACUUUGUAAACUCGGUCUAAGGCGAGUUUUGAGAGGAUUCUCGAGGGGUUUCUUGAGGUAAGUCACUUCUGGUCAUUUUUAUUUGAUAAUUUUAUUUCCUAUUGAGAUUCCCACCUAGUUUGCGUGUUUUUGAGAUGUAAUUUUGGGAGUUUGAGUCUAGGGGUUUGGACAGUUUAAUUAGGGAUUUGAGUGAUGAUUUGGUGUUGGAUUUUGGUAAAUUUGGUAUGGUUGGACUCAUGGUUGAAUGAGCUUUCAAAUUUUGUAACUUUUAUUGGAUUUGAGAUGUGGGAUCGGGGGUUGACUUUUGAGGUGACUUUUUGACUUUUGGUUAAGAACUUAGCAUUUUUAUAUGGAAUUGAUUCCUAUACUUGAGUUGAUUGUGUCGAAUUGUUUAUAGCUAGAUCCAAGGUAUUCGGAGGUCGAUUUGUGAGGCAAGGGCUUGCUAGCAGAGUGAUUCGAUUUGCAUGAGGUAAGUAUCGUAUUAAAAGUGGGUUGAGGCACCAGUCGCUUGAAUUGUUGUGAUAGCCACGUGCUUUUGGGUGCGCACAUGCGUGACGAUGAUCCUACAUGUGGCAACUGAGAUUGUAUAAUCAUGUUUGGGUUGUGACUGGGCUCUUAUAAGCCCAAAAAUGACUAUUGAGCUUCAAGGUUUGAUAUCUAACAUGUUGUAACGGUUUAUAUGAUCUAGUUGAGCCAUGAUGAGACUACUUAGAGGUUUAAUCCCUAAAAGAACUUGAUAGAUGCUUUUCAUUGAUGAAAUUGCUAGUUUGGACUACGAUAGCACACUUUGCGCAUGCCUACACUUUAGCAUGUUAUUUACACCAGUCCUGAGAUAUGAGAAUCUUAUUUCAUUCAUCUUAUACCUGUAUACUUGCUUCUUUGCUUCUAUAUGAUAUUUUGGACUGGCUUGCGGCUAUGCCGGGCUGAUUAUAUUAUUGGCAUGUGAGUUAUCCGUGUGGAUCCAUAUAUUGAUAUUAUUGACACGUGAGUUGUUCAUGUAGCACGUGAGUUAUCCAUGCAGGUUUUAUUGAUAGCAUGUGAGUUGUCCGUACAGUGUGUGAAACUUGUAUUUCCUUGAUCAUUUAUCUGAUUUACUUGUUUCUUCCCUUUAUAUUGUAUAGUAUUUGAGCAGGGCAUUUGAGAAAUAGUGCACAUGCACACACGGAUAUUCUUCUCACGAGGCCUUGUGAGUUAACUUUAAAUAUUGGGAUGUGUUGGUCUAGAAGGGCAGAAUUACACUUAAACAGCUGUCAUCCUUAAUGAUUUAAGCUUCUCUUACCUUGCCUUGUUUAUUUGCGAUACUUAUUGAGUUGGUUGUACUCUGACUACACCCUGCACCUCGUGUGCAGAUUCAGGCAUUUCUGGGCACGGUGGUUGUUAAUUGUGAAGUCUUACAUGUCCCGAGAUCAUCGAGGUAGCUGCUUGGGCGUUCGCAAACCUUGACUCUAGUUUCCUUAUCUUUCAGUUUUAUUUAUUUAGUCCUACUUUCUAAAUAGUGUAUCAGGCUAUGUCAUUGUAUAUAUAUUCCCAUGUACUCAGUGACACCCAGGUUUUGGGGAUUUCUGUAUUGAGUUGUGACGUUUCAUCUCAUUUUUAUGAGAUUUUCAUUUAUUUACACUUGUUUUGGUAUA
rnacentral:lncRNA from 1 species